rnacentral:rRNA from 1 species
UACGAGGGGGGCAAAUGUUGUUCGGAAUCACUGGGCGUAAAGGGCGCGUAGGUGGUCUGAUAAGGGUGUGGUGAAAGCCCGGGGCUCAACCCCGGGUCGGCCGUGCCGACUGUUAGACUAGAGUACUGUAGGGGCAGGCGGAAUUCCGGGUGUAGCGGUGGAAUGCGUAGAGAUCCGGAGGAAGACCGGUGGCGAAGGCGGCCUGGUGGGCAGUUACUGACACUGAGGCGCGACAGCGUGGGGAGCAAACAGG